AACAACUCUAUGAAUCGUAAAUCCGGCAAACCAAAAUAAUCACUUCUAUCCCUUAAAAAUCUACCUUCUUCACGAAGCAGCCGUAACUGAUCCCUACGUUCUUGUUCGUCGAAAAUUAUUAAAUUUAUAGGCAACAUUUUAUUUAAUUUCAACAAUAAACAUUUGUUUUUGUUUACCUUAUGCUUUUUUGGAAUUAUAGGUUAGUUAAAUCUGUCAAAUAUGUAGAAUCACAUCACAUUUCCACAGGACGGAGUUUAUCUAUGGCAUAGAACAAGACAAUUAUUACAGAACUCUAAAAUCUUGAAACGACGUGCUGUGUUGCCGUUAAUUUUUACCCAAUCGUUCGUUUCAAUUCGGUCCAGUUCGUAGAGUAUUGCGAUAGUAUAGCGAAGCGAAGCCACACCAUAGAGAAAUAACAACAAGAGAGAAGUCAAAAGAUAGGCAAUAACUGGAACACUCUUUCUGCGCAGGACGCCAUUUUGUGCGUUAGAAUUUGCAAUUUCCCGGCCCGGCAUAGAUAGAUAAUUUGGCGGUUUGUACUGAAUACUACUAAACAUAUUUUCUAUUUUCAUUACUGGAUAGUGCUGGAAUUGCUGAAAUUGAAUAUCGGAACUUGGAAUUACAGAGAAGUGAUAUAGACUAAUCAUCAUCAUCAUCAUCAGCCCCUCUCGAUCCACUGCUGGACAUAGGCCUCCCAUGUUUGUAGACAAGUAGAAGAGACAAGUAGACUAA